rnacentral:rRNA from 1 species
GUCUUUUUGAUUAUAAUUUAAGGUCUAAUCUGCUCAAUGAUUAAUUAAAUUGCCGCAGUAUCUUGACUGUGCAAAGGUAGCAUAAUAAUUAGCUUUUUUAUUGGAAGCUGGAAUGAAUGAUUGGACGAGAAAAUUUCUGUCUCUUUAUUAUUUUUAUUGAAUUUUACUUUUAAGUUAAAAGGCUUAAAUUUUUUUAAUAGACGAGAAGACCCUAUAGAGUUUUAAUUUUUAAUAUUUAAUUUAUUAUUUGGAAUUUUUAAUAUUUUAUUUAGUAAAAAAUUUAGUUGGGGUGACUAAAAGAUUUAUUUAACUCUUUUAAUUAAUAUCAUUUAUUUAUGAAUAUAAAAUCUAUAUUUUUAAGUUUAAAAUAAAUUACCUUAGGGAUAACAGCGUAAUUUCUCUUUAGAGUUCUUAUUAAUAGAAAAGUUUGCGACCUCGAUGUUGGAUUAAAAUUUAUUUUAGGUGUAGAAGCUUAAAAAUUAAGUCUGUUCGACUUUUGUAAUUUU